rnacentral:rRNA from 1 species
CUACGGGGCGCUGCAGUGGGGAAUAUUGCACAAUGAGCGAAAGCUUGAUGCAGCCAUACCGCGUGUGUGAAGAAGGCCCGAGGGUUGUAAAGCACUUUCAAUUGGGAGGAAGGUUAAGUAGUUAAUACCUGCUUAAUUUGACGUUACCUUUAGAGGAAGCACCGGCUAACUCUGUGCCAGCAGCCGCGGUAAUACAGAGGGUGCAAGCGUUAUUCGGAAUUACUGGGCGUAAAGCGCGCGUAGGCGGAUUAUUAAGUCAGUUGUGAAAGCCCUGGGCUCAACCUGGGAACUGCAUCUGAUACUGGUAGUCUAGAGUUUAAGAGAGGGAAGUGGAAUUCCAGGUGUAGCAGUGAAAUGCGUAGAUAUCUGGAGGAACAUCAGUGGCGAAGGCGACUUCCUGGCUUAAAACUGACGCUGAGGUGCGAAAGCGUGGGUAGCGAACGGGAUUAGAUACCCGAGUAGUC